GACGAACGCUGGCGGCGUGCUUAACACAUGCAAGUCGAACGGAAAGACCCUGCUUUUGUGCGGUUCUCGAGUGGCGAACGCGUGAGUAACACGUGAGUAACCUGCCCUUGACUUUGGGGUAACUUCACGAAACUGGGGCUACUACCGGAUAGGAGCUCCUGCAGCAUUGUGGGGGUUGGAUAGUUUCGGCGGUUGGGGAUGGACUCGCGGCUUAUCGGCUUGUUGGUUGGGUAGUGGCUGACCAAGGCUUUGACGGGUAGGCGGCCUGAGAGGGUGACCGGCGACAUGGGGACUGAGGGACGGACCAGACGCGUAUGGUAGGCAGCAGGGGGGAAUAUUGCACAACGGGAGGAAGUGUGAGGAAGCAACGUUGGGUGCGGGAAGACGGUCUGUGGGGUGAGAACAGCUGUCGCCUGAUACGAAGCGGGAGUGACGGUAACGGAUAAAGAAGCACCGGCUAACUACGUG
rnacentral:rRNA from 1 species